rnacentral:rRNA from 1 species
GACGAACGCUGGCGGCGUGCUUAACACAUGCAAGUCGAACGGAAAGGCCCUGCUUUUGUGGGGUGCUCGAGUGGCGAACGGGUGAGUAACACGUGAGUAACCUGCCCUUGACUUUGGGAUAACUUCAGGAAACUGGGGCUAAUACCGGAUAGGAGCUCCUGCUGCAUGGUGGGGGUUGGAAAGUUUCGGCGGUUGGGGAUGGACUCGCGGCUUAUCAGCUUGUUGGUGGGGUAGUGGCUUACCAAGGCUUUGACGGGUAGCCGGCCUGAGAGGGUGACCGGGCACAUGGGGACUGAGGUACGGCCCAGACGCCUACGGGAGGCAGCAGUGGGGAAUAUUGCACAAUGGGCGGAAGCCUGAUGCAGCAACGCCGCGUGCGGGAUGACGGCCUUCGGGUUGUAAACCGCUUUCGCCUGUGACGAAGCGUGAGUGACGGUAAUGGGUAAAGAAGCACCGGCUAACUACGUG